ACGUAGGGUGCGAGCGUUAAUCGGAAUUACUGGGCGUAAAGCGUGCGCAGGCGGAUUGUUAAGCAAGACGUGAAAUCCCCGGGCUUAACCUGGGAAUGGCGUUUUGAACUGGCAGUCUAGAGUGCGUCAGAGGGGGGUGGAAUUCCACGUGUAGCAGUUAAAUGCGUAGAGACGUGGAGGAACACCGAUGGCGAAGGCAGCCCCCUGGGACAUGACUGACGCUCAGGUACGAAAGCGUGGGGAGCAAACAG
rnacentral:rRNA from 1 species